AAACUGCUCAAAGGUAAACGGGUGGGCCCUCGAAAUCCGAUGGCGGGGGGAUUCAGUCAGGUGGUGCGGAGGUGUCGCUGAUCGUUGAUACGGACCCGUCCAGGCCGGGUCGGCGGCCAGAGUCUCCGUUCUCCCUGACGCACUUCCUCCCGCUCGUAGGACGCCGCAACCGGUUGGGUAGAUGCGUGUGUCGGCCAUAAGGACUGGGCGCCGGAAGGUGGCCGGUGGCGGUGCUUCGGCUCCGCCGCCGGUUGUUUAUCCAGCUCGUCCGUGGCGCGACACCCGACCGAGGUUGAGUGGUCCUGUUGGGACCCAGCUGUGCCCUCCUCAGGAGCGGGCGAGUCGGCAGGCGAGCUGCGGCAGUGUUUCCCCACUCGAGAAGUGGGCGACCUGCCGUGGCCGCUGCUGGCCGGAGUUGUCCCGCGGAGGUGCCGGCAGUUGGCGGCGAGUAGGUCGGUCACCCACCCGACCCGUCUUGAAACACGGACCAAGGAGUCUAACAUGUGCGCGAGUCACGGGGUCUUGUAUAGGCCCAGAGGCGCAAUGAAAGUGAAGGCUGGACUCGAUUCUGGCUGUGUUGGGACUCUCCACGCUUGUCGUGGGGAAGCACCAACGACCCGUCCUAUCCUAUUCUUAGGUGGGGCGGAGUUAGAGCGUACACGUUGGGACCCGAAAGAUGGUGAACUAUGCCUGGGCAGGACGAAGCCAGAGGAAACUCUGGUGGAGGUCCGUAGCGGUUCUGACGUGCAAAUCGAUCGUCAGACCCGGGUAUAGGGGCGAAAGACUAAUCGAACC
rnacentral:rRNA from 1 species